CGAUUGAACGCUGGCGGCAUGCCUUACACAUGCAAGUCGAACGGUAACGGGCCUUCGGGUGCCGACGAGUGGCGAACGGGUGAGUAAUGCAUCGGAACGUACCUUUCAGUGGGGGAUAACGUAGCGAAAGUUACGCUAAUACCGCAUAUUCUGUGAGCAGGAAAGCAGGGGAUCGCAAGACCUUGCGCUGAUUGAGCGGCCGAUGUCAGAUUAGCUAGUUGGUGAGGUAAAGGCUCACCAAGGCGACGAUCUGUAGCGGGUCUGAGAGGAUGAUCCGCCACACUGGAACUGAGACACGGUCCAGACUCCUACGGGAGGCAGCAGUGGGGAAUUUUGGACAAUGGGCGCAAGCCUGAUCCAGCCAUGCCGCGUGGGUGAAGAAGGCCUUCGGGUUGUAAAGCCCUUUUGUCCGGAAAGAAAAGCAUUCGGUUAAUACCCGGGUGUUCUGACGGUACCGGAAGAAUAAGCACCGGCUAACUUCGUG
rnacentral:rRNA from 1 species